rnacentral:rRNA from 1 species
CACGUAGGGUGCGAGCGUUGUCCGGAAUUAUUGGGCGUAAAGAGCUCGUAGGCGGUCUGUCGCGUCGGAUGUGAAAACCCGGAACUCAACUCCGGGCCUGCAUUCGAUACGGGCAGACUUGAGUACUGCAGGGGAGGACUGGAAUUCCUGGUGUAGCGGUGGAAUGCGCAGAUAUCAGGAGGAACACCGGUGGCGAAGGCGGGUCUCUGGGCAGAAACUGACGCUGAGGAGCGAAAGCGUGGGGAGCGAACAGG